rnacentral:rRNA from 1 species
CAAUAGCGUAUAUUAAAGUUGUUGCGGUUAAAAAGCUCGUAGUUGGAUUUCUGCUGAGGACGACCGGUCCGCCCUCUGGGUGAGUAUCUGGCUCGGCCUGGGCAUCUUCUUGGAGAACGUAGCUGCACUUGACUGUGUGGUGCGGUAUCCAGGACUUUUACUUUGAGGAAAUUAGAGUGUUUCAAGCAGGCACACGCCUUGAAUACAUUAGCAUGGAAUAAUAAGAUAGGACCUUGGUUCUAUUUUGUUGGUUUCUAGAGCUGAGGUAAUGAUUAAUAGGGAUAGUUGGGGGCAUUCGUAUUUAACUGUCGGAGGUGAAAUUCUUGGAUUUGUUAAAGACGGACUACUGCGAAAGCAUUUGCCAAGGAUGUUUUCAUUGA